GUACGGGAGGCAGCAGUGAGGAAUAUUGGUCAAUGGGGGCAACCCUGAACCAGCCAUGCCGCGUGAAGGAAGAAGGCCCUAAGGGUUGUAAACUUCUUUUGUACGGGGGUAAACUCUUUUACGUGUAAAGGAUUGAAAGUACUGUACGAAUAAGCAUCGGCUAACUCCGUGCCAGCAGCCGCGGUAAUACGGAGGAUGCGAGCGUUAUCCGGAUUUAUUGGGUUUAAAGGGUGCGUAGGCGGAUUUAUAAGUCAGCGGUGAAAGACUGUCGCUCAACGAUAGCAUUGCCGUUGAUACUGUAGAUCUUGAGUACAUUUGAGGUGGGCGGAAUGUGUAGUGUAGCGGUGAAAUGCUUAGAUAUUACACAGAACACCAAUUGCGAAGGCAGCUCACUAAACUGUAACUGACGCUGAGGCACGAAAGCGUGGGGAUCAAACAGGAUUAGAUACCCCGGU
rnacentral:rRNA from 1 species